UUGGGAGCUGUGGUCACUGGAGCUGUGGUCACUGGAGCUGUGAUGUGGAGGAGGAAGCGCUCAGGUGGAAAAGGAGGGAGCUAUGCCCAGGCUGCCAGCAGCGAUGGUGCCCAGGGAUCUGAUGUAUCUCUCUCGGCUUCUGAAGAGUGAGGCACUUGUCCGGGACUGAGUGAUGAGA